rnacentral:misc_RNA from 1 species
GAAAUGCGAUAAGUAAUGUGAAUUGCAGAAUUCAGUGAAUCAUCGAAUCUUUGAACGCACAUUGCGCCCGCCAGUAUUCUGGCGGGCAUGCCUGUUCGAGCGUCAUUUCAACCAUCAAGCCCCGGGCUUGUGUUGGGGACCUGCGGCUGCCGCAGGCCCUGAAAAACAGUGGCGGGCUCGCUGUCACACCGAGCGUAGUAGAUUCUCAUCUCGCUCAGGGCGUGCUGCGGGUUCCGGCCGUAAAACAGACUUAUUUUACCCAAGGUUGACCUCGGAUCAGGUAGGAAGACCCGCUGAACUUAAGC